rnacentral:rRNA from 1 species
GGAAUCUUGCGCAAUGGGUGAAAGCUUGACGCAGCAACGCCGCGUGCGGGAAGAAGGCUUUCGGGCUGUAAACCGCUUUCAGUAGGAACGAAACUGACGGUACCUACAGAAGAAGGAGCGGCCAACUAUGUGCCAGCAGCCGCGGUGACACAUAGGCUCCAAGCGUUGUCCGGAUUUAUUGGGCGUAAAGAGCUCGUAGGCGGUUGAGUAAGUCGGGUGUGAAAACUUUGGGCUUAACCCAAAGAUGCCACUCGAUACUGCUUUGACUUGAGUUCGGUAGGGGAGUGGGGAAUUCCUUGUGUAGCGGUGAAAUGCGCAGAUACAAGGAGGAACACCGGUGGCGAAGGCGCCACUCUGGGCCGAUACUGACGCUGAGGAGCGAAAGCGUGGGGAGCAAACAGGAUUAGAUACCCUGGUAGUCCACGCGGUAAACGGUGGUCACUAGGUGUGGGUCUCUACCAAUGAGAUCUGCGCCGUCGCUAACGCAUUAAGUGACCCGCCUGGGGAGUACGGUCGCAAGACUAAAACUCAAAUGAAUUGACGG